rnacentral:pre_miRNA from 1 species
CUGACAGAAGAGAGUGAGCACACAAAGGCAAUUUGCAUAUGUUUGUAUCCGAUCUCACUGCAUUUGCUUCUCUUGCGUGCUCACUGCUCUUUCUGUCAG